rnacentral:tRNA from 2 species
GCCGCCCUAGCUCAAUGGUAGAGCAGCUGUUUUGUAAACAGCAGGUUCACGGUUCGAAUCCGUGGGGCGGCU